rnacentral:rRNA from 1 species
AGCAGUCGCCGCGGUAAUACGUAGGUGGCAAGCGCUGUCCGGAAUUAUUGGGCGUAAAGGGCUCGCAGGCGGUUUCUUAAGUCUGAUGUGAAAGCCCCCGGCUCAACCGGGGAGGGUCAUUGGAAACUGGGAAACUUGAGUGCAGAAGAGGAGAGUGGAAUUCCACGUGUAGCGGUGAAAUGCGUAGAGAUGUGGAGGAACACCAGUGGCGAAGGCGACUCUUUGGUCUGUAACUGACGCUGAGGAGCGAAAGCGUGGGGAGCGAACAGGAUUAGAUACCCCAGUAGUCCCUGUCUCUUAUAC